rnacentral:ncRNA from 1 species
AUUAAAUCAGUUAUAGUUUAUUUGAUGAUACCUUGCUACUUGGAUAACUGUGGUAAUUCUAGAGCUAAUACAUGCAACGAGACCCCGACUUCUGGAAGGGGUGUAUUUAUUAGAUAAAAAACCAACGCGGUUCGCCGCUCCCUUGGUGAUUCAUGAUAACUUUUCGAAUCGCAUGGCCUUGUGCUGGCGAUGCUUCAUUCAAAUAUCUGCCCUAU